rnacentral:lncRNA from 15 species
AUGAGGUAUUUUUGGGACACUCGCGUUUCCAAUGUCCAUGUUGACCACACAGGAAACAAACAUUCUUUGGAAUUUUAUCUUUCCAGUGCCUGUGUUGGGUAUCUUUUCCUCUAUGUGUAUGAUCUGGUUGUCCAUGUUCUCGAAUUGUGUUAUACAUGGUUAUUGCUGCCAUGUGAAGCUCAUUCUGUGUUGUCUCUUCUUUUUUUUUCUUUGAGAAUAUUUGGUCAUUGGCAUUUAUGGCGUGUUUGCGAAGUUUGGACAGGCGUGCAUCAUUCCAUCCAAUGCAGGAACAAACAGUUACAAAGAUGAAUUUUCCACACAUCUGGAAUAUUGUUUAAUCCAUCAGGUAUGUAGGUGUUGAAUACCUCUGAUGUUGUUGGGUUGGGCAGAUGUUGUGAGGCUGCUGUGAUGUCAGCAGAAGUCCAUGGGCGGAAAAUCAACGUUGCACCUUCUGGUCCAGAUAUUUCAACCAUGGGCAUGUUGAAGGCUGCAUCUUGAUUUGGAUGACACAGUCUAUGUGCUAUUGGAGAAGGGGGGUUGGUUGUAGGGUUCUGUGGUAGAACGGACACAUCAGGGGCACAGUGAGCUGCUCCUGAACUUGUUUUUUGUUGUGGCAUGGCGGAGUCUGCUUCCCUUCUUUUGCUGGGUGUCACUGUAUUGUAUGGUGGUGGAGCUGAAGGAAGAAUAGGUGGGUUGCCGUCAAGGUCUGGAUCCAGCUUCAAAACCGCCAACUGUGGAAACAAAGAAGAAGUCUGCGAGUCUGGGGUUCUUUGUGUGUGUGAAAUUUGCUUUUCAUUGGUUUCAACUUUUUCACAUGGAAAAGGGAGUUGUUUCAGCAUUCUUUUCUUAUCUCGUGUCUCUGCUUCCCCUUUCCACAUCUGAAAACAUUUUUGACCUUCCAUAUUUUCUAAUUUUCUUACAGAAACCUUAUUUUUCCUUCUCAUUUCUUGUUCUUUUCCCUUCAGUUUUUCUUCUAAUAUGGAUAUGUUUUUUAAAAAACUGAGGGAUCCCCCUACUGGGAAUCCAAACUCAGCUGUCCAGACAUUUAAAUAUUUUAAACUUUUAUCCCCAUAUUUGCUUCUCAUAACAUCCACAAUCGCCCCCUCCGGAGGUCCAACCUCCAGAGCUUUUACUACCAUUCCAAAUGGAGGUCGUGCACAACUAUUACAAUACAGACGUCUCUGUAAAGGGUCACUUUGUUUAAGGAUACAAGUGAUAAAGACCUGGUUACUUCGUUUAAGGAACAAGCAACAAAGACCUGGUUACUUCGUUUAAGGAUACAAGCAACAAAGACCUGUUUAAGGCAACAAAGACCUGAUCACUUUGUCUGUGCUACAAGUGAAAAAAAAGCAAAUCGCUUCGUUUAUGGUUACAAGUGAUUUAAAAACCUGAUUGCUUUGUUUAAGGCUACAAGCAACAAAAAGCAGAUCGAUUGUGGAUAUGUGAGAAACGGAAAUAUUUAGCCAAUUUUAAACCCAAAAUUUAAAGAAAGAAAUUUAAAUGUCAAUAUUUCAGUGCUCACCAGAUGAAUUUCGUUGAAUUGCGUUUGUGGAAAAUCCCAGCAGCGACGAUCUGGGAGGUUUGCGGUCAGUCCUCCCUUCUCAGAAGAGGAUUUUGAGGUUAGAGGCUGAAAAGUUUUUCUUCCAGGAUGGCCUGUCACUGUCUGCGUCCCGUCCCAGACGAUCGCUCGAGGGAUCCCACUUCUGACACCAAAUUGUUGUGGAAUUUUCUCAGUUGCUGGUGAAGAAUGAAAUAGAGAACUUCUGGCGCUGAAUACCAUUAAUCCAAAGCGCAGUAACGGCAAGUUAUCCAAGGGAAUGAAUGUUUUUCAUGGAGCAUCUUCUUACACUCGUUGAACUUUAUGCGCUUCUCGUUAACCAACUUGGAAUAGUCGGCGAAGACCAUUAUACAAUGCUACUUCCAGGUAACUUUACCCAUCUUGCGUGCAGCCGUUUCGGUCCUGGAAUCUGAGAAAUCUGGCGAUGAUGGGUCUUGCUGACGAGGGAUUUUCAGCAUCUGGGCUCUUGCGCGAUCCUCCAGUUCUGUGGGCUCUGUCGAUUUCCAGUCCCCCGGGGAAGGCGAUGUUCAGGAUCUCCGGUAAAAUUUUGAUGAGGAAUGACAUGGUGUCUCCUUCCUCGCUGCCGUCUGGAAACCAGAUGAACCAUAAAUUAUUCCUUCGCUCCCGAUUUUCAAUGUCCAGUUUUUGACGGAGGGCUUCCACCUCUGAAACUGUGGCUGGAGGGUUAGCCUGCUGUCUCUCAUUUGCCUCCUCGAGGAAGCCCAGAUGGCUCUCUUGAGAAAUGCAGUUUGUAAUGUCAGCUAUUUUGCUAUCUGUAGCACUUGUUGUCACCCAGAUAGCCUCCAGCUUCUUGUCGUGGGCAUCUGACUUUUCCAGGAUUAGUGCAGUGAGUUUAGCAAACUCUUUGGCUACAUUACCGGGGAUGGUGCUAGCGCCAGGUUCAUCGGUGCCGGGCUUGUCAUGAGGAUUAGCUUGGCUAGCAUUAGCCACUUCGUUAGCCUUCGCUUCACUGGAGCCAGUUCUCGGGGGAUUAGUGGUGUUUCUGGUAGUGUUUGGCAUUGUUGGAAUAUAACGUCAACUUUUCACACGAUAACUCAAAUAAAGUUAGACUCUGUCAAGUUUCAAAGUUAGUUCUACUUCAAGCAGCCAUUCUCGUCAACCACGUCACAUGACUCUUCCUGAUUGGCUGAUUGUAUGCAUCCUGAUUCGCGGAUUGUUACCUGCAUUCUUAU